UACAGAGGGUGCGAGCGUUAAUCGGAAUUACUGGGCGUAAAGCGUGCGUAGGCGGUUCGUUAAGUCAGCUGUGAAAGCCCUGGGCUCAACUCAGGAAUUGCAUUCGAAACUGGUAGGCUCGAGUACGGGAGAGGGGGGUGGAAUUCCUGGUGUAGGGGUGAAAUUCGUUGAUAUCAGGAGGAACACCGGCGGCGAAGGCGGCCCCCUGGCCCGCAACUGACGCUCAUGGUCGAAAGCGUGGGGAGCGAACAGG
rnacentral:rRNA from 1 species